CCUGGUAGUCCACGCCCUAAACGAUGUCAACUAGCUGUUGGGGCCUUCGGGCCUUGGUAGCGCAGCUAACGCGUGAAGUUGACCGCCUGGGGAGUACGGUCGCAAGAUUAAAACUCAAAGGAAUUGACGGGGACCCGCACAAGCGGUGGAUGAUGUGGAUUAAUUCGAUGCAACGCGAAAAACCUUACCUACCCUUGACAUGUCUGGAAUGCCGAAGAGAUUUGGCAGUGCUCGCAAGAGAACCGGAACACAGGUGCUGCAUGGCUGUCGUCAGCUCGUGUCGUGAGAUGUUGGGUUAAGUCCCGCAACGAGCGCAACCCUUGUCAUUAGUUGCUAC
rnacentral:rRNA from 1 species